UAGCCACCACACAAACAUAGCCUGCACCAGUCAGUCUUGAAAUAGAUGUUGUAAAAGACAGUCGCUGUUUAAAGUUCAAAUUGUCUGCCGUGUGUUCUAAACGGUUAUUCCGAUUUUGUCGCGUGUGAAAAGAUGAUUAGAAGAGACUACGUUCACCCUCGAGAAUCUGCGCUGGCCGAAGAUCGUUCAAUGGUCUACGACAAUGGCCCGGCCGGUAGAGAACAUCGCGCUCCCAACCAAUCAUCGAUCGAAGUGGUACAUGCCAUUCCGUCAUCAGAGGAAGAUGCUUUGGAGGUUGAGCGUAAGCGGAACGCGGAACUUUCGUUGAAAUUGCGGAAGGUCAAGGCCAGGAACAAACAGCUAAUGACAUCGAACGCGGUUUCCAUAAAUCCUAAGUCAACCCGUGUUCAGUCUACCAUUCGAGAUACGUACACAAGCAAUAAUUCGUUAUCAACAUCCAUGAACAACCUUUCGUUCGCCACGUUGAACAUUGCGGAAUGUAGACCCAUGGAGGGUGAAGAUGAUAUAGAUAGGCGUUCUUUUGAGAACUGGCGUACAUUACUAGAAGCUUCAAUGCAACUUGUUGGGGUAACAGACGAAGUUACAAAGAUGAGUAUUUUCCGUAUCAAAGCAGGACCAAAGCUUCUGGACCUUCUGGAUAAUAUGGGCUCAUCUAGCACAUCCGGCAAUAAUCCGUAUUCAAGCGCGAUGAGUCGACUAAUGGAUUUUUUUGGUUCACGCGAUAACACUCUACUUCACCGACAGAAACUUCGAUCGUUGACUCAGAUUGUCGGUGAAUCGGAUGUCAAAUAUGAAACGUGUCAUCAACCUAGCAAAGCUUUGCAAUUAUGAUGACAACCAGAUUAUAGAAAAUGUGGCAGAUGUGAUCCAAUCACAUGCACUUAACUUCAGUAUUCGCGAAAUGGGUAGAAAAAUUUUGAGGAAAGGAGGAAGUCUUGCAGUAAUACUAGAAAAAGCGCGAGCUAUCGAAAUCGCAAAGAAAAACGAGGAGUUGUUCGCCAAGUCUCACACACAACAGGCCCAUGUUGCGCCAGUUUCUUCCGGAUAUUCAUCAGGGUCCAGUCGAAUUGAGUCUCAUUACGCUCGCCCGGAAUACGAUCACCAGUAUCAGUCGCCUGUUGGAAGUCAGACAAGAUUCGUCAAUCAACAAAUCAGACCUAGCAGACAAGGUUUUCAUCGGGAUACAACCUCGCAGCCGAAAUAUAAACCUUGUUGGCGUUGCUUGGGUAGAUAUCACUUAGCUUCUUCAUGCUCAGCGGCGGACAAAGUCUGUCGAACUUGUCUACGGAAGGGACACUUGGCCAAAGCUUGCAGCCAAUCACGAGAAACACAAAAACGAAAGGCGCUCAAUGGUAAUGAUGGUACCGUCGGACCGGCACCGAAGAAAAUUGCCAUGAUUACCAAGGACGAGUCUCCGGAGGAUUCUAACGCAACGGAAGCGAUGGUCAAUGAGGUGCCUGUUUCACAGUUAGGGAUUGAAAAUGGGGCUUGUAUUGAAGGACGUGUUGCAGGAUUGUCUGUUAACUUUCUGAUCGACUCUGG